UACCCUGAACGGUGGAUCACUUGGCUCGUGGGUCGAUGAAGAACGCAGCUAAUUGCGCGUCAACUUGUGAACUGCAGGA
rnacentral:rRNA from 6 species